rnacentral:rRNA from 1 species
AGUGAACGCUGGCGGCAGGCCUAACACAUGCAAGUCGAGCGGCAGCACGGCAAUAGCAAUAUUGUGGGUGGCGAGCGGCGGACGGGUGAGGAAUGCAUCGGGAUCUACCCUGUCGUGGGGGACAACGUAGGGAAACUUACGCUAAUACCGCAUGAUCUGGAGACAGCAAAGCCGGGGACCUUCGGGCCUGGCGCAAUGGGAUGAGCCGAUGUCCGAUUAGCUAGUUGGCGGGGUAAAGGCCCACCAAGGCGACGAUCGGUAGCUGGUCUGAGAGGACGACCAGCCACACUGGAACUGAGACACGGUCCAGACUCCUACGGGAGGCAGCAGUGGGGGAAUAUUGGACAAUGGGGGCAACCCUGAUCCAGCCAUUCCGCGCGAGUGAAGAAGG